rnacentral:sRNA from 1 species
CGAAGAUGGCGGAGGUGCAGGUCCUGGUGCUUGAUGGUCGAGGCCAUCUCCUGGGCCGCCUGGCGGCCAUCGUGGCUAAACAGGUACUGCUGGGAACUUAGUUCUGGCGAGUACUGCGCUGUGUCUGGAGGGUGACUGCAUAGGCGGUGGUAGAACCCUCAGGUGGCUCAGCCCUUCUAAGACUUUCCCUCCCUCUAGGCCGGAAGGUGGUGGUCGUACGCUGCGAAGGCAUCAACAUUUCUGGCAAUUUCUACAGAAACAAGUUGAAGUACCUGGCUUUCCUCCGCAAGCGGAUGAACACCAACCCUUCCCGAGGCCCCUACCACUUCCGGGCCCCCAGCCGCAUCUUCUGGCGGACCGUGCGAGGUAUGCUGCCCCACAAGACCAAGCGAGGCCAGGCCGCUCUGGACCGUCUCAAGGUGUUUGACGGCAUCCCACCGCCCUAUGACAAGAAAAAGCGGAUGGUGGUUCCUGCUGCCCUCAAGGUUGUGCGUCUGAAGCCUACAAGAAAGUUUGCCUAUCUGGGGCGCCUGGCUCAUGAGGUUGGCUGGAAGUACCAGGCAGUGACAGCCACCCUGGAGGAGAAGAGGAAAGAGAAAGCCAAGAUCCACUACCGGAAGAAGAAACAGCUCAUGAGGCUACGGAAACAGGCCGAGAAGAACGUGGAGAAGAAAAUUGACAAAUAUACAGAGGUCCUCAAGACCCACGGACUCCUGGUCUGAGCCCAAUAAAGACUGUUAAUUCCUCAUGCGUGGCCUGCCCUUCCUCCAUCGUCGCCCUGGAAUGUGCGGGACCC